rnacentral:rRNA from 1 species
AGUGAACGCUGGCGGUAGGCCUAACACAUGCAAGUCGAACGGCAGCACAGUAAGAGCUUGCUCUUACGGGUGGCGAGUGGCGGACGGGUGAGGAAUACAUCGGAAUCUACUUUUUCGUGGGGGAUAACGUAGGGAAACUUACGCUAAUACCGCAUACGACCUACGGGUGAAAGCAGGGGAUCUUCGGACCUUGCGCGAUUGAAUGAGCCGAUGUCGGAUUAGCUAGUUGGCGGGGUAAAGGCCCACCGAGGCGACGAUCCGUAGCUGGUCUGAGAGGAUGAUCAGCCACACUGGAACUGAGACACGGUCCAGACUCCUACGGGAGGCAGCAGUGGGGAAUAGUGGACAAUGGGCGCAAGCCUGAUCCAGCCAUACCGCGUGGGUGAAGAAGGCCUUCGGGUUGUAAAGCCCUUUUGUUGGGAAAGAAAAGCAGCAGGUUAAUACCCCGCUGUUCUGACGGUACCCAAAGAAUAAGCACCGGCUAACUUCGUG